AUAUCAAUAAGCGGAGGAGAAGAAACCAACAGGGAUUGCCCUAGUAACGGCGAGUGAAGCGGCAACAGCUCAAAUUUGAAAUCUGGCUCUUUCAGGGUCCGAGUUGUAAUUUGCAGAGGGCGCUUUGGCGUUGGCAGCGGUCCAAGUUCUUUGGAACAGGACGUCACAGAGGGUGAGAAUCCCGUACGUGGUCGCUAACCUUCGCCGUGUAAAGCCCCUUCGACGAGUCGAGUUGUUUGGGAAUGCAGCUCUAAAUGGGAGGUAAAUUUCUUCUAAAGCUAAAUACUGGCCAGAGACCGAUAGCGCACAAGUAGAGUGAUCGAAAGAUGAAAAGCACUUUGGAAAGAGAGUCAAAUAGCACGUGAAAUUGUUGAAAGGGAAGCGCUUGCAGCCAGACUUGCCUGUAGUUGCUUAUCCGGACUUUUGUCCGGUGCACUCUUCUGCAGGCAGGCCAGCAUCAGUUUGGGCGGUUGGAUAAAGGUCUCUAUCACGUACCUCCCUUCGGGGUUGGCCUUAUAGGGGAGACGUCAUGCAACCAGCCUGGACUGAGGUCCGCGCAUCUGCUAGGAUGCUGGCGUAAUGGCUGUAAGCGGCCCGUCUUGAAACACGGACCAAGGAGUCUAACAUCUAUGCGAGUGUUUGGGUGUCAAGCCCAGACGCGUAAUGAAAGUGAACGGAGGUGGGAACCUUUUAGGUGCACCAUCGACCGAUCCUGAUGUCUUCGGAUGGAUUUGAGUAAGAGCAUGGCUGUUGGGACCCGAAAGAUGGUGAACUAUGCUUGAAUAGGGUGAAGCCAGAGGAAACUCUGGUGGAGGCUCGCAGCGGUUCUGACGUGCAAAUCGAUCGUCAAAUUUGGGCAUAGGGCGAAAGACUAAUCGAAC
rnacentral:sRNA from 1 species